GAUGAACGCUAGCGGCAGGCCUAACACAUGCAAGUCGAGGGGCAUCGCGGUGCAGCAAUGCACUGGCGGCGACCGGCGUACGGGUGCGUAACGCGUAUGCAACCUGCCCCGCACCGGGGGAUAGCCCGCCGAAAGGCGGAUUAAUACCCCAUGGUCCCGGGGGCCCGCAUGGGCAUCCGGGUAAAGCCUUGGCGGUGCGGGAUGGGCAUGCGUGCCAUUAGCUGGCUGGUGGGGUAACGGCCCACCAGGGCAACGAUGGCUAGGGGGUCUGAGAGGAUGGUCCCCCACACUGGUACUGAGACACGGACCAGACUCCUACGGGAGGCAGCAGUGAGGAAUAUUGGUCAAUGGGCGGAAGCCUGAACCAGCCAUGCCGCGUGCGGGAUGAAGGCCCUACGGGUUGUAAACCGCUUUUCCCCGGGAAGAAUAAGCCCCCCGCGGGGGGUGAUGCCGGUACCGGGGGAAUAAGGAUCGGCUAACUCCGUG
rnacentral:rRNA from 1 species